GCCGGUGUGGCUCAGUGGAUAGAGCGUUGGCCUGCAGGGCCAAAGGGUCCCAUGCUCGAUUCUGGUCAAGGGCA
rnacentral:tRNA from 1 species